AUUGAACGCUGGCGGCAUGCCUUACACAUGCAAGUCGAACGGUAACAGGUCUUCGGAUGCUGACGAGUGGCGAACGGGUGAGUAAUACAUCGGAACGUGCCUAGUAGUGGGGGAUAACUACUCGAAAGAGUGGCUAAUACCGCAUGAGAUCUACGGAUGAAAGCAGGGGAUCGCAAGACCUUGUGCUACUAGAGCGGCCGAUGGCAGAUUAGGUAGUUGGUGGGAUAAAAGCUUACCAAGCCGACGAUCUGUAGCUGGUCUGAGAGGACGAUCAGCCACACUGGGACUGAGACACAGCCCAGACUCCGACGGGAGGCAGCAGUGGGGAAUUUUGGACAAUGGGCGAAAGCCUGAUCCAGCAAUGCCGCGUGCAGGAUGAAGGCCUUCGGGUUGUAAACUGCUUUUGUACGGAACGAAAAGCCCCGGGUUAAUACCCUGGGGUCAUGACGGUACCGUAAGAAUAAGCACCGGCUAACUACGUGCCAGCAGCCGCGGUAA
rnacentral:rRNA from 1 species